rnacentral:rRNA from 1 species
UCUGACCUCUGACCUCAAAUCAGGUAGGACUACCC